CUUCCACCUCUGCCCUAUCUCGGCAGAUGCUCCACGGAUUUGCACGAACUCCCGAGUCUUGACCUCCCUCCCCUCUCCGGGCUGCCGGGACAACUCGGGGCGGCCACUCUUGCCAGGAGGCAUGUUGGAUGACAAUAACCAUCUUAUUCAGUGUAUAAUGGACUCUCAGAAUAAAGGAAAGACCUCAGAGUGUUCUCAUUGGAGAUUGCCUAUUCAUUGCCUUCUCUAUAUGCUGUGUCCUGAUAGAUGGGUAGUAUAAACACAGUGGGCCUAAGUUGUUGGUCAUUGCUACAGUAGUGAAAAGGAAAAAAAGGUAUCAGCAGAUGUUGCACACAAACUUGGUAUACCUUGCUACAAUAGCAGAUUCUAAUCAAAAUAUGCAGUCUCUUUUACCAGCACCACCCACACAGAAUAUGCCUAUGGGUCCUGGAGGGAUGAAUCAGAGCGGCCCUCCCCCACCUCCACGCUCUCACAACAUGCCUUCAGAUGGAAUGGUAGGUGGGGGUCCUCCUGCACCGCACAUGCAGAACCAGAUGAACGGCCAGAUGCCUGGGCCUAACCAUAUGCCUAUGCAG
rnacentral:lncRNA from 1 species